rnacentral:lncRNA from 1 species
GACGCACUUCCUGCAACUUGUGACGGUAAAAGCAUACCUGUAAUUCAUCUAUGCUGAAAAUAAACCAUGAACUACCAACUCGAA